CCAUGUCUAGUGUCACUGGAAACAGCCAGCUGACCUCACAAUGCUUAUCUCACUGUUGCUGUCAAAGCAACAGGGACUAUUGCCCUUUGAUCCCAUCCCUUGUCCCUCCACCUGCACUUCCUCUCAUGCCACCACUGAGGACAAUUCGAGAAACUGAUGCUACCGUGUGGAACAGCUUACCAGGGUUUCAUUCCCUGCAAAGUUAUUUGUAUACUUGUCCACUACAGGAACAACCCAACGUCAGAAGUCUUUUUAGAGGGUUCAGUGGUUCAUGUGCAGGUUUGCUUUAUAAGCAAAUUGCAUAUCAUGAGGUAUGGCGUUCAGAUUAACUCAUCACCCAGGAACGAUGAAAGGCGCCUGGAACCCUCGCUGAGAGCUGUGAGCAGGCAGUGGUGAUGAUGGAAGUGAGCGGGGCUGGGGGCUGCGCACAGCAGUACCCAUCACCUAGGUGAAAUAACAGCUGGAACUUACCAGAAUUCUACUCCUCAAAGAGUCUGCAUGCAGUGGCAUAAAACUAACACAGGUGCCCCAGCAUGAUGACAAAGAAUAAAUAGAAGCAUAUGUUCUGAAAGGUCCAUAAUUCUUUGCUUCUUAGAAUACUACUUAUAAAACGUGGUCAGCUUUGUUCUGCAAAUUGGCUGACACCUAACACAGAGGCACCGCCGUUGGUGCCCGCGUGACCGUGGCACCUGGAUUCCCUUAUCUUGUUUAUUAUUAUUAACUGUUUCAAAAACACUUUGGAGAUUUGAAGAAAGGGAUAGAUUGUGAUCUCUUCUCAGAGUGUGGUCCU